CACUCCCACAGGAGAAGCCCUAACCCCGCUCCGUCCCCACCGGGCCCUUGCGGUGGCUGCAGCGAGUUUGAGUUUGUCCCUCAGCACGUACUCCUGCAGCCGAGAAUGUGCCAGUCGGCAGCAUUCCCCCACGGAUAUCUCCGUGUGCUGGUAGACCAUCAAGUUUCGGGCCGACCAAAGUGCGUCUUUGACCGAGUUGAUGAUCUGCCAGCAGCACCGGAUGUUGGUCUCCAUGUGCGUCCCCGGGAACAGCCCGGAGAUCAGAGAGUCCUCUGUAACGCAGCUGCUGGGGAUGAACCCCGACACUGCCUCUUCCAUCCUUCUCCACGAACACACAGUGUGCAAAGAGGUGGGUCACCGACUCCUCCUCUCUGCAGUCCUCCCGUGGGCAGAGGGGUGUGGAGGUGACGUUCCGGGCGUACAGGAGGGAUCGGACUGGGAGGCCCCUCUCACCACCAGCCAGGCGAGGUCUUGGUGCCUGUUGCUGAGGUCUGGCGAUGAGGCAUUUUGCCAGAUGAACUGGACGGUCUGCUCAGGGAACCACCCCACUGUGUCCAUCGCGUCCUUCUCCUGCAGGACCUUACGUGCUGACCACUGCCUGACGGCCCUGUGGUCAAAGGCGUUGACCUGAAAGAACUUCUCUACGAAGGACAGAGUUGGAACUCCCCAUCUUUGAGCAAGAGAGAUGUCCAUAAGAUUCCUGGCUGCACCAGAGUCGAUAAACGCCUUAAGUUCAUGGGUCUGAGACCUCCAUGACAAGGAAGCUGCAAGCAUUACACAAUUAGGGGAAGCAGACUGAAGACAGAACCGACCCAUCUGGCCUCCCCUCCCUGCUGACAGAUGUUGCCUGAGCCACUGAGCGAUCCCAGCGUUCCAGGCCUGACCAGCAGCAUCAAAACCUGCGGCCACUGCAUUGGCUGCUCUCCAUUCUCCUGAAUUGAGGAGCUGGACAUUUAGUUCCAUCUUCUCUGCCCUCUACAAGGUCUGGAAACACCUGGCGUCACAUCCUCCGUGGGCAGGCUCGGUGCCAACCUACUCCUCUCCCCCAAGCCUCGCACCCCCACCAAACUGCCCAUCGCAUAAGGCUGCCCCUUUCCAUCGUGUCCGCUGAGGGCUUUCACAGGAGGAUCGUCGCCUGUAUGGACUGGCCAGCUUUCAGCGGUCUGUGCCUUACGGAAGCAAGUUGCAGGCAUGAAGUCCCAGCCAACAUGUCGGCACAGAUUAGCAGGGUCUGAACUUCGAGCGUCGACCACAUCUGUCUCCACAGACGCUGCCUGACCUGCUGAGAACUUCCAGCUGGUGGAACAUCACUAAAAAGUACCACAGGUCUUCCGAACCCACGGGACAGCAAAUCCCAAACCCACCGCCUCUCCCACCCCAAGACCAGAGCCGCUGAAGCCCCGCGACCCGUAGGUAUUUCCCCGUCCCGGUGAGAAAUGUCAGGAUGACUUCUCCGAAUAAAGGUGGCGGAGCGGACCGUGAACUACGUUAGCCGAACCGCUGAGUUUUCUCAGGGAUCUUAUUUCAGAUUUGCAGGCGCUGGCGGGGAGGGAGUUAAACCAGUUAAGCCCACCUUUCUCAAGCGAACGGCGGCCCAGUCAGCAGAAGGCGGAGGGUUUCCGAGCGCCGGGAUCUGGACUGGCGCUCCCGGCCGCCGUCACUGGGUGGCGGUAGGAGCCGCGAGUCUGAACCUCAGCUUGGCUCCAGACGCCGGGGCCACGGGGGUAGAGACUGACUGGGGGCAGCAGCGGGGAUAGACGAGUGGAAGAAAUGUG